rnacentral:rRNA from 1 species
UACGAAGGGGGCUAGCGUUGCUCGGAAUCACUGGGCGUAAAGCGCACGUAGGCGGAUUGCUAAGUCAGGGGUGAAAUCCUGGAGCUCAACUCCAGAACUGCCUUUGAUACUGGCAACCUUGAGUCCGGGAGAGGUGAGUGGAACUGCGAGUGUAGAGGUGAAAUUCGUAGAUAUUCGGAGGAACACCAGUGGCGAAGGCGGCUCACUGGCUCGGUACUGACGCUGAGGUGCGAAAGCGUGGGGAGCAAACAGG